ensembl:misc_RNA
GUCGCGGAUUCCUAUCUAUCUGCCCAUGUGGUUGGGGUCACUUCUUGCGGGCACUGUGACUUUUGUCUGCGUCUGGACAACUGAAUG